rnacentral:lncRNA from 7 species
GGCUUGUUAACCAGUACCUUGAAAUUCUGCAAGGCGAGUUUGCAUAGCAUAUCCUUGAAAUUACACUUGGAAGCUAUUACUUGGACAGUUACUUUAGAGGCAUUCUUGGAGGUCAUUACAGUUUUUGUCAAGAACAGUUUAAUUCUCUGCCAUUUUCCACUUUUGUUAUUAUUGUGGACCAUCGUGGGAGCAGGUUAAUUUGGUCCAAUUUCCUCAUCAUGUUCUGUCCCUCAUCUCAUGAAUGCAAACACGUGAAGGCUGGACUCUGCCGAAGAUUAAACUUGUGGUGACAAGUAAUUCUUGUGACAGAGGCUUUAAUGAGAAGAGAAAAAGACCUUAAAAUAUCUUCUUACACUUAAUAAGGAUAAUCUAAAAAGUUGUAUGGAACUCGUUGGAGGACAGCUCUGACUGGUCUGCUGGUCACACUGAGCCAGCCACACUGGGCUGGCCUUGGCCAUGGAGAUGCAGGAAGGUGACUCCAUGGGCAGGCAAUAUCAGAGCCCCUCUCUUUGAAAAGCACAGAAAGCUUCUCAGCAUUGAUCUAGGAGAAAGCCAGCUGGUGGCCCUGCUGUCUGGAGGCAGUGCUGUGUGUGAGGGGCUGAGUCCUGCCAUCUUGCCAUGCAGAAGCCUUGCUCUGUCCUGUCCUCUUCCCCAGCUUUCUGCUAGAGACAAUAUGGACACAGCAUCACCACCUCAGGCCAAAGUCUGUGAGAAAGAUGUGAGAAAUAAGCACACACUGAACCUGCCUCAGAUAAACCUUUCAAAAAACAAGUUUUUGGCAUCUGCUGGUUUAAAGGCUUUCAAGCCAGUGUUGGCAUCAGCACCCUAAGGUCUGGAUGCUCCCAGAAGCAAGAUCGUUUCCAUCAGAAACAAAUGCCAAUGCAGGAAACCUGCCAAAUCACUCUUUGUCUUUCUAACACAGUAGUUUAAAGCUGCCAGUGCUUGAGGACAGAGCACCCAUGUACAAAGUCACGUGUGAUUCCCUACCAAAGGAGAUAUUAGUAUUUUAACAGGAAGAGUGCUCGUUCUAUGCUAAAGGCAGCCAUCUGCUUGGAGCUGUGACUUGUACCCGUGCAAAAUAAAUGCCGAAUGGGUU